GUCUCAUCAGAAAAUUGAAGACUCCGAAGAAAGCAGUGAUGAAAUACUUGUGCGUCUAACAUCUGCGGUGCAGAGAGAGCUAGCAGCUGUUAUUGCUUUGAAAGCAAGGAAGUCUGCAAUUGAACAAGAUGAAGAAAACAAUGACAAACGUGUAGCUGUAACAGAAGCCGAAAGUGUUCCAGAUUCUCAGGCAGGGGUGAUGUGCAAGCUCCAGGAAAGAGAUGAAAUCGGACGAAUUGAACUAGUCCAGAAGCUGGCAAAAGAAAACUAUCAGUUUUUGCAGACGGACAAAAAAGAACAGGAGAAGUCUGAACACCAAGAUGAUGAAGUGACGACUGUUCAGGUUAAAGAGCAAGACCAGAGCGUCCUGGUGCUGAAGAAAGUGCAGUGCUGUGGCCCAGCCCCCACAGCUGGGAGUGCGGAGAGCCAUUGGAGAUAUGUGGUGGUGUCCGGGACCCCGGAGAAGAUUUUGGAGCACCUUUUGAAUGACUUGCACCUGGAAGAAGUCCAGGACAAAGAAACAGUUAUACCAACCCCUGGGAUCACAUGUGUCACUUCUGCCAUGUGCUCACAAAGCCAAGCGGACCAGGACUUCAUGGCUUGACUCUCCUAGCACCAACCUAAGUGGGGAAGAAGGGGUUGGUUGGGGUCACCUCACCUAAUUCCUGCUCAUUUCCUUAGAGUUUGGGGGAGAGACACAAAUGAAACUUUAGAGUUUUGCAGAGACA
rnacentral:sRNA from 1 species